ACAUCGAUGGUGAAACGGUAUCAUGCUUGCCUUCCACGUCGUUACAUAUAUGCUGUAAGCAAGCGGCACGGGUUCGACUCCCGUUCGAUGUA
rnacentral:tRNA from 1 species